UACGUAGGUGGCAAGCGUUGUCCGGAUUUAUUGGGCGUAAAGCGAGCGCAGGUGGUUUAUUAAGUCUGGUGUAAAAGGCAGUGGCUCAACCAUUGUAUGCAUUGGAAACUGGUAGACUUGAGUGCAGGAGAGGAGAGUGGAAUCCCAUGUGUAGCGGUGAAAUGCGUAGAUAUAUGGAGGAACACCGGUGGCGAAAGCGGCUCUCUGGCCUGUAACUGACACUGAGGCUCGAAAGCGUGGGGAGCAAACAGG
rnacentral:rRNA from 1 species